rnacentral:tRNA from 1 species
GCCUGGGUGGCUCAGUCGAUUGGGCAUCUGACUUCAGCUCAGGUCAUGAUCUCACUGCUCGCGAGUUCAAGCCCCGCGUCAGGCU